rnacentral:rRNA from 1 species
GCGAAAUUCCUUGUCGGGUAAGUUCCGACCCGCACGAAAGGCGUAACGAUUUGGGCACUGUCUCAACGAGAGACUCGGUGAAAUCAUAGUACCUGUGAAGAUGCAGGUUACCCGCGACAGGACGGAAAGACCCCGUGGAGCUUUACUGUAGCCUGAUAUUGAAAUUCGGCACAGCUUGUACAGGAUAGGUAGGAGCCUUUGAAACGUGAGCGCUAGCUUACGUGGAGGCGCUGGUGGGAUACUACCCUAGCUGUGUUGGCUUUCUAACCCGCACCACUUAUCGUGGUGGGAGACAGUGUCAGGCGGGCAGUUUGACUGGGGCGGUCGCCUCCUAAAAGGUAACGGAGGCGCUCAAAGGUUCCCUCAGAAUGGUUGGAAAUCAUUCAUAGAGUGUAAAGGCAUAAGGGAGCUUGACUGCGAGACCUACAAGUCGAGCAGGGUCGAAAGACGGACUUAGUGAUCCGGUGGUUCCGCAUGGAAGGGCCAUCGCUCAACGGAUAAAAGCUACCCCGGGGAUAACAGGCUUAUCUCCCCCAAGAGUUCACAUCGACGGGGAGGUUUGGCACCUCGAUGUCGGCUCAUCGCAUCCUGGGGCUGUAGUCGGUCCCAAGGGUUGGGCUGUUCGCCCAUUAAAGCGGUACGCGAGCUGGGUUCAGAACGUCGUGAGACAGUUCGGUCCCUAUCCGUCGUGGGCGUAGGAAAUUUGAGAGGAGCUGUCCUUAGUACGAGAGGACCGGGAUGGACAUACCUCUGGUGUACCAGUUGUCGUGCCAACGGCAUAGCUGGGUAGCUAUGUGUGGACGGGAUAAGUGCUGAAAGCAUCUAAGCAUGAAGCCCCCCUCAAGAUGAGAUUUCCCAACUUCGGUUAUAAGAUCCCUCAAAGAUGAUGAGGUUAAUAGGUUCGAGGUGGAAGCAUGGUGACAUGUGGAGCUGACGAAUACUAAUCGAUCGAAGAC